AUUGAACGCUGGCGGUAUGCUUAACACAUGCAAGUCGAACGGUAACAGGUCUUCGGGCGCUGACGAGUGGCGGACGGGUGAGUAACGCGUAGGAAUCUGCCUCAUAGUGGGGGACAACGUGGGGAAACUCACGCUAAUACCGCAUACGCCCUACGGGGGAAAGCGGGGGAUCUUCGGACCUCGCGCUAUGAGAUGAGCCUGCGUUAGAUUAGCUAGUUGGUAGGGUAAAGGCCUACCAAGGCGACGAUCUAUAGCUGGUCUGAGAGGACGAUCAGCCCCAGUGGGACUGAGACACGGCCCAGACGCCUAGGGGAGGCAGCAGUGGGGAAUUUUGGACAAUGGGCGCAAGCCUGAUCCAGCAAUACCGCGUGUGUGAAGAAGGCCUUAGGGUUGUAAAGCACUUUCAAAGGGGAGGAAAACCUGCCGGUCAAUACCCGGCAGCUUGACAUUACCUUUAGAAGAAGCACCGGCUAACUCCGUGCCAGCAGCCGCCGUAAGAC
rnacentral:rRNA from 1 species